GCCGCGGCGAUAGCUCGGUAGGUGAGAAGAUGCGGAUUACUCCGAAUUAUCUGCGCGGGUUCGAAUCCUGCCUGUGGCA